rnacentral:rRNA from 1 species
AUUGAACGCUGGCGGCAGGCCUAACACAUGCAAGUCGAGCGGAUGAGAGGAGCUUGCUCCUCGAUUCAGCGGCGGACGGGUGAGUAAUGCCUAGGAAUCUGCCUAGUAGUGGGGGACAACGUUUCGAAAGGAACGCUAAUACCGCAUACGUCCUACGGGAGAAAGUGGGGGAUCUUCGGACCUCACGCUAUUAGAUGAGCCUAGGUCGGAUUAGCUAGUUGGUAGGGUAACGGCCUACCAAGGCGACGAUCCGUAACUGGUCUGAGAGGAUGAUCAGUCACACUGGAACUGAGACACGGUCCAGACUCCUACGGGAGGCAGCAGUGGGGAAUAUUGGAAAAUGGGCGAAAGCCUGAUCCAGCCAUGCCGCGUGUGUGAAGAAGGCCCUCGGGUCGUAAAGCACUUUAAGUUGGGAGGAAGGGCUUACAGCGAAUACCUGUGAGUUUUGACGUUACCGACAGAAUAAGCACCGGCUAACUUCGUGCCAGCAGCCGCCGCCG